AUCGCUUCUUGGUCUUCUGGCUAAGACCAAGUGUAGUAUCUGUUCUUAUAUGCUUGUUGGUUUGUUAGUUUUUAAUGACAAUUUGGUUUCAGCUACUCCAU
rnacentral:snRNA from 1 species